UGGUUGUUUUAGGUGUGUCAAGAUAGGCCAUAGGCUUAGAGAGUGCCCAUAUGCCAGGCUGGAAAGCAGAGAUACCCGGUCCCAAACCCAGGCAACUAGUGCAUCAGCUUUUGCAGCCCAUCCAGCUCCUCCUCAGGGCGCUUCUUCUAGUAUUGCUGGCGGUCAGUGUCAAAAUAGGUUCUAUGCCCUACCUUCCUAUCAUGAGCAGGAGAACUCUCCCAAUGUUGUUACUGGUAUGCUCCGUGUAUUUUAUUUUGAUGUAUAUGUG
rnacentral:lncRNA from 1 species